ensembl:lncRNA
UCUCCUCAUUGGUUAUACCCACGUGUGUGAUUGAAAGACCAACUGUUUUGCCGGUAGUCGUGGUAAUACUAUGAACGUUUAGGUGCCGAUCACCAUAUAAAUUCAACGAUGAAAAAGCCUGGAAGGAGGAGAGAUGACUAGAAACAAUUCGGUUGGCCAUUUUAUGCGUAGAUUAAUUUGUCGAAGUAGAGGACCUUGUGCAGUUCAGAAUAAUUCUAAAUGAGAAGAUCCUGCCAUGGAAAAGACGACUGGGCGGACAUAAAGUGGAAAGGAGGGGAAAUAACUCACACCAUGCAGCAGGACCCCUUCAGCUGUGGGGUCUUUGUAAUGCAGGGUCUUCACAAAAAUGUACCUAAAUCAAUUUUGGAAAAAGGAUUUUACUCGCAAAAGACGUAGGAUACGUUUUAUCUAUAAAUUCUCUUCAUUAUUUCUCUUCAUAUGACAAAGAAUAAAAAUAAUUUGCCA